rnacentral:rRNA from 1 species
UACAGAGGGGGCAAGCGUUAUUCGGAAUUAUUGGGCGUAAAGAGCUCGUAGGCGGUUUGUCGCGUCUGCCGUGAAAAUCCGGGGCUCAACCCCGGACUUGCAGUGGGUACAGGCAGACUAGAGUGUGGUAGGGGAGACUGGAAUUCCUGGUGUAGCGGUGAAAUGCGCAGAUAUCAGGAGGAACACCGAUGGCGAAGGCAGGUCUCUGGGCCACUACUGACGCUGAGAAGCGAAAGCAUGGGGAGCGAACAGG